rnacentral:lncRNA from 1 species
CUUCCUUUUUGUCCGACAUCUUGACGAGGCUGCGGUGUCUGCUGCUAUUCUCCGAGCUUCGCAAUGGUAAGCUUCAGGGGUGUGAAGUCGCCGGCGUUCUUGGGUUUGAGGACUCAGUGGGGAGAGCCUUCGGCGGGAGCGCUCCUUGGCCUGCCGGCCUCGGUUGCAGGGCGGGCGCGGUUAUUGCUUGGCCCAUGUGCUCUGGUGGUGGAGUUUGCGGGGGCUGAGGGCGCAGUAUUAGGGGACUUUGGCGCUAUUUGAGGACCUGGUUGCAUUCCCGCUGCCCUCCUACAGCCGCCUAAGGACGACAAGAAGAAGAAGGACGCUGGAAAGUCGGCCAAGAAAGACAAAGACCCAGUGAACAAAUCCGGGGGCAAGGCCAAAAAGAAGGACUUAUCAAACUGGUUUCAAAGCACAGAGCUCAAGUAAUUUACACCAGAAAUACCAAGGGUGGAGAUGCUCCAGCUGCUGGUGAAGAUGCAUGAAUAGGUGAGUAGGAAUGUGUGGGCUCAUGGUGUAGGAGGUAGAUACAAAGCUUUAUGGUUCUGAUUCUUUUAAUUUUUUUUUACAGGUCCAACCAGCUGUACAUUUGGAAAAAUAAAACUUUAUUAAAUCAAA